rnacentral:rRNA from 1 species
UGGGGAAUUUUGGACAAUGGGCGCAAGCCUGAUCCAGCAAUGCCGCGUGCAGGAUGAAGGCCUUCGGGUUGUAAACUGCUUUUGUACGGAACGAAAAGCUUCUGGUUACUACCUGGGAGUCAUGACGGUACCGUAAGAAUAAGCACCGGCUAACUACGUGCCAGCAGCCGCGGUAAUACGUAGGGUGCGAGCGUUAAUCGGAAUUACUGGGCGUAAAGCGUGCGCAGGCGGUUAUGUAAGACAGAGGUGAAAUCCCCGGGCUCAACCUGGGAACUGCCUUUGUGACUGAAUGGCGAGAGUGCGGCAGAGGGGGAUGGAAUGCCGCGGGUAGCAGUGAAAUGCGUAGAUAUGCGGAGGAACACCGAUGGCGAGGGCAAUCCCCUGGGCCUGCACGGACGCUCAUGCACGAAAGCGUGGGGAGCAAACA